rnacentral:rRNA from 1 species
AGUGAACGCUGGCGGUAGGCCUAACACAUGCAAGUCGAACGGCAGCACAGUAAGAGCUUGCUCUUACGGGUGGCGAGUGGCGGACGGGUGAGGAAUACAUCGGAAUCUACUUUUUCGUGGGGGAUAACGGAGGGAAACUUACGCUAAUACCGCAUACGACCUACGGGUGAAAGCAGGGGAUCUUCGGACCUUGCGCGAUUGAAUGAGCCGAUGUCGGAUUAGCUAGUUGGCGGGGUAAAGGCCCACCAAGGCGACGAUCCGUAGCUGGUCUGAGAGGAUGAUCAGCCACACUGGAACUGAGACACGGUCCAGACUCCUACGGGAGGCAGCAGUGGGGAAUAUUGGACAAUGGGCGCAAGCCUGAUCCAGCCAUACCGCGUGGGUGAAGAAGGCCUUCGGGUUGUAAAGCUCUUUUGUUGGGAAAGAAAAGCAGUAGGUUAAUACCCCGCUGUUCUGACGGUACCCAAAGAAUAAGCACCGGCUAACUUCGUG